rnacentral:rRNA from 3 species
GGACUACCGGGGUAUCUAAUCCCGUUUGCUCCCCUGGCUUUCGCGCCUCAGCGUCAGAAAAGGUCCAGUCGAUCGCUUUCGCCACCGGCGUUCCUAUUGAUAUCUACGCAUUUCACCGCUCCACCAAUAGUUCCAUCGACCCCUACCUCCCUCGAGACUGCCAGUAUCAAAAGCACUUUUCCGGUUGGGCCGAAAGAUUUCACCCCUGACUUGGCAGCCCGCCUACGCGCCCUUUAAGCCCAGUGAUUCCGAACAACGUUUGGACGGUUCGUCUUACCGCGGCGGCUGGCAC